rnacentral:rRNA from 1 species
UAACAAGGAUUCCCCUAGUAACUGCGAGUGAAGCGGGAAGAGCUCAAAUUUAAAAUCUGGCGGCUUNUAGUCGUCCGAGUUGUAAUCUGGAGAGGCAUUUUCCGCGUUGGACCGUGUACAAGUCUCCUGGAAUGGAGCGUCGUAGAGGGUGAGAAUCCCGUCCAUGACACGGACCGCCAAUGCUCUGUGAUAUGCCUUCGAAGAGUCGCGUUGUUUGGGAAUGCAGCGCAAAAUGGGUGGUAAAUUCCAUCUAAAGCUAAAUAUUGGCGAGAGACCGAUAGCGAACAAGUACCGUGAGGGAAAGAUGAAAAGCACUUUGGAAAGAGAGUUAAACAGUACGUGAAAUUGUUGAAAGGGAAACGCUUGAAGUCAGUNCGCGUUCCGUGGAACUCAGCCUUACUUCGGUUUGGUGUACUUUCCAUGUGAACGGGUCAACGUCAAUUUUGGCCGGUGGACAAAGACAAAGGGAAUGUAGCGUUGUUUCGGUGACGUGUUAUAGCCCCUUGUUGUAUACACCGGCUGGGAUUGAGGACUGCAGCACGCCCUUGCGGCCGGGGGUUCGCCCCACGUACCGUGCUUAGGAUGUUGGCAUAAUGGCUUUAAGCGACCCGUCUUGAAACACGGACCAAGGAGUCUAACAUGCUUGCGAGUGUUUGGGUGGAAAACCCUUGCGCGUAAUGAAAGUGAAAGUUAGGAACCUUCUCGCAAGAGAGAGUGCACUGACGCCCGGCCCUGACGUUCUCUGACGGUGCUGCGGUAGAGCAAGUAUGUUGGGACCCGAAAGAUGGUGAACUAUGCCUGAAUAGGGCGAAGCCAGAGGAAACUCUGGUGGAGGCUCGUAGCGAUUCUGACGUGCAAAUCGAUCGUCAAAUUUGGG